rnacentral:rRNA from 1 species
AACGAACGCUGGCGGCAGGCCUAAUACAUGCAAGUCGAACGGGCGUAGCAAUACGUCAGUGGCGGACGGGUGAGUAACACGUGGGAACAUGCCUUUCGGUUCGGGAAUAACGCAGGGAAACUUGCGCUAAUACCGGAUGACCCGGCGACGGAAAGAUUUAUCGCCGAAAGAUUGGCCCGCGUAGGAUUAGCUAGUUGGUGAGGUAGCGGCCCACCAAGGCGACGAUCCUUAGCUGGUUUGAGAGAACGAUCAGCCACACUGGGACUGAGACACGG